CAGUAGCCGCGGGAAUACGAAGGGUGCAAGCGUUACUCGGAAUUACUGGGCGUGAAGCGUGCGUAGGUGGUGGUUUAAGUCCGUUGUGAAAGCCCUGGGCUCAACCUGGGAAUUGCAGUGGAUACUGGGUCACUAGAGUGUGGUAGAGGAUAGUGGAAUUUCCGGUGUAGCAGUGAAAUGCGUAGAGAUCGGAAGGAACAUCUGUGGCGAAGGCGACUAUCUGGGCCAACACUGACACUGAGGCACGAAAGCGUGGGGAGCAAACAGGAUUAGAUACCCGAGUAGUCCCUGUCUCUUAUAC
rnacentral:rRNA from 1 species